ensembl:lncRNA
CACCACCUCUGGUUUUGCCGGCCUCCACAGUCCAGUCAAACCGAAGAACAGAGAAGCUAUCAGAUGGUGUUACAGCUUUGUCCGGUACCGAGGGGGUCAGCCAUGUUUCGGAUAAGCAGAUUAUGUUGCAGUCCCUUAUGUCCCAUUGGAAUCUUAUCCUGGCUCUGAGUUCAUCUAUCUUAUUCUCAAGUGUUUUCUGUUUCGUCACCUCGGAGGAGCACUCUCAUAGCCAUUGUUCUCAUCCGUCAUGCGGAGAAUCUCAGGUGGCCAUCUUGGAAGUUGUAAAGAUUUAGACAAGCUUCAGUCUGGAUCCAGAAAACCUGAAGAGAUGAUGCCAACCCCUCAGAGGACCUCAGAUGAUGCCAACCCUGAAACAACAUACAGAUCUACCAAAUUUUGCUGCAAGUUUGAUUCCAACAUAUAAUAAUUGCUGUUAAUAGAGUUCAUAAUCUGUUUGAUUACGUCUUUAAUUGAUUAUUCUGUACAUUUCUGCCAUAUGUACAUUUACUGACAUAGUCACCACUGAUAAGCUACUACUAAAUAUAUCUAAGCCCACAAUAAUCAUAAAAGUGGCUUGUUUUUGCAAUAUGGUUUGGUGGUCAGUUGGAAAGUCAAUAAACUGCCAUAUAGUAGUGGCCAAAAGUGAUGUCCGGCCAAGGAAAUUUGACAUCUUUACCCUUAAUUUAAAAAAAUAAUAAUAAAAAUGUGCAAGAUUUUGUAAGC